rnacentral:pre_miRNA from 1 species
GGGGGGAGCGCCGGAUCAUGGGCUGUGUCCCCCGGCGCGCUGUGCUUCCCGGCCUGCGCUGCUGGAAUCGCACCCUUGGGGCCGUGCAGCCCCCU